CGGGUAGAGUAACGCGUGAAUAACCUGACUCAAAGAGGGGGGAGUAACAACGGGAAACUGUUGCUAAUACCGCAUGAGACCACAACACCGCAUGAUGAAGGGAUCAAAGAUUUAUCGCUUUGAGAGGGGUUCGCGUCCCAUUAGGUAGUUGGAGGGGUAACGGCCCACCAAGCCAACGAUGGGUAGCCGAGCUGAGAGGCUGAUCGGCCACACUGGAACUGAGACACGGUCCAG
rnacentral:rRNA from 1 species